CCUACGGGGGGCAGCAGUGAGGAAUAUUGGUCAAUGGGCGGGAGCCUGAACCAGCCAAGCCGCGUGAGGGAAGAAGGUACAGCGUAUCGUAAACCUCUUUUGUCAGGGAACAAAGGCGGGGACUAGUCCCCGGAUGAGGGUACCUGAAGAAAAAGCAUCGGCAAACUCCGUGCCGGCAGCCGCGGUAAUAGGGGGGGUGCGAGCGUUCUCCGGAUUUAGUGGGGUUAAAGGGUGCGCAGGCGGCCUGUAAUGUCAGCGGUAAAAGCCCGGGGUUCAACCCCGGCGAGCCGUUGAAACUGGCGGGCUUGAGUGGGGGAGAGGUAGGCGGAAUUCGCGGUGUAGCGGUGAAAUGCUUAGAUAUCAGGCAGAACCCCGAUUGCGAAGGCAGCGUACCGGCUCCACACUGACGCUGAGGCACGAAAGCGUGGGUAUCGAACAGGAUUAGAUACCCUAGUAGUC
rnacentral:rRNA from 1 species